rnacentral:sRNA from 22 species
UUUUAUGGACAAUCAAGACCAUAAGAAUACCUGGAAUAAUUUCACAAAGUUUGUGUUGUGGG